rnacentral:tRNA from 1 species
GCGGACGUGCUGGAACAGGCAGACAGGCAUGCUUGAGGGGCAUGUGGGUGUAUGCCCGUAUGGGUUCGAUUCCCAUCGUCCGCACCA